rnacentral:rRNA from 1 species
AAGACCUUGCACUUUUGGAGCGGCCGAUGUCUGAUUAGCUAGUUGGUGGGGUAAUGGCCUACCAAAGCUUCGAUCAGUAGCUGGUCUGAGAGGACGGCCAGCCACACUGGGACUGAGACACGGCCCAGACUCCUACGGGAGGCAGCAGUGGGGAAUUUUGGACAAUGGGCGCAAGCCUGAUCCAGCCAUGCCGCGUGAGUGAAGAAGGCCUUCGGGUUGUAAAGCUCUUUCAGCCGGGAAGAAAAGGUUGCGACUAAUAAUCGCAAUCCAUGACGGUACCGAAAGAAGAAGCACCGGCUAACUACGUGCCAGCAGCCGCGGUAAUACGUAGGGUGCGAGCGUUAAUCGGAAUUACUGGGCGUAAAGGGUGCGCAGGCGGUUUUGUAAGUCAGAUGUGAAAUCCCCGGGCURAACCUGGGAACU